GUUCUUUCAUAUAUCAUAUCGGCAGCACAUAUACUAAAAUUGGAACGAUACAGAGAAGAUUAGCAUGGCCCCUGCCCAUCACUAACUUUGGAUGCAGUGACAUCUACACCCAUUUC
rnacentral:snRNA from 1 species